rnacentral:rRNA from 1 species
GAUGAACGCUGGCGGCGUGCCUAAUACAUGCAAGUCGAACGAGGUGCUUUUGUAGCAAUACGAGAGUAUCCUAGUGGCGAACGGGUGAGUAACGCGUUGGUGACCUACCCCAAAGUGUGGGAUAACAGUCCGAAAGGAUUGCUAAUACCGCAUGUGGUCUUCGGAUUUAGAAACUGAUGACUAAAGGAGCAAUUCGCUUUGGGAGGGACCUGCGUCCCAUCAGCUAGUUGGUGAGGUAAUGGCUCACCAAGGCUACGACGGGUAGGGGACCUGAGAGGGUGACGCCCCAACAUGGAACUGAAACACGGUCCAUACACCUACGGGUGGCAGCAGUAGGGAAUAUUGCACAAUGGGCGAAAGUCUGAUGCAGCAACGCCGCGUGUGCGAUGAAGGCCUUCGGGUCGUAAAGCAUUUUUCUGAGGGAGGAGCAAGGACAGUACCUCAGGAAUAAGUCUCGGCUAACUACGUGCCAGCCGCCGCCGUAAAAC